rnacentral:sRNA from 1 species
UGAGCUGGAGACAAAUCAGCAACAUUUCCAUGCUUUGUGUCACAGCCUGCUGACUGGGCAGUUGCAGACCAACCGAGCUCGAGCUACUGUGGCCCCCCUGCCUAUGACUCCUGUCCCAGGCAGAGCCUCCAAGAUGCCAACAGCCAGCAAAUCUUCCUCAGAUGCCUUCUUCCUGCCUUCAGAGUGGGAGGAGGAUCCCUCAGGGCCCUAAGUCACCAGCACCAGAGCCCAGCUGCCCAGCUUAACCAUAUCCAUGCUCAGGUUCACAUAAUGGCUA